rnacentral:rRNA from 1 species
UACGUAGGAGGCGAGCGUUGUCCGGAAUCACUGGGCGUAAAGCGCGUGUAGGCGGUACGGCAAGUCUGCUGUGAAAUCUCGUGGCUCAACUGCGAGGGGUCAGUGGAAACUGCCGCACUAGAGGACGGUAGAGGGGGGUGGAAUUCCCGGUGUAGUGGUGAAAUGCGUAGAGAUCGGCAGGAACACCCAGGGGGAAACCAGUGGACUGGGCAUGUGCUGACGCUCAGGUGCGAAAGCGUGGGGAGCGAACCGG